GGUUAAUUAGCUCAGUUGGUAGAGCACGCGACUCUUAAUCGCGGGGUCCAGGGUUCGAACCCCUGAUUGACCACCA
rnacentral:tRNA from 1 species